CUUGACGAUCAUAGAGCGUUGGAACCACCUGAUCCCUUCCCGAACUCAGAAGUGAAACGACGCAUCGCCGAUGGUAGUGUGGGGUCUC
rnacentral:rRNA from 1 species